rnacentral:lncRNA from 1 species
GAGGUAGAAACAGAGGGGGAGAUGAAGAAGAGGUAGAAACAGAGAGGGGGAGAUGAAGAAGAGGUAGAAACAGAGGGGGAGAUGAAGAAGAGGUAGAAACAGAGGGAGAUGAAGUAGAAGAGGUAGAAACAGAGAGGGGGAGAUGAAGAAGAGGUAGAAACAGAGGGGGAGAUGAAGUAGAAGAGGUAGAAACAGAGAGGGGGAGAUGAAGAAGAGGUAGAAACAGAGGGAGAUGAAGAAGAGGUAGAAACAGAGGGGGAGAUGAAGAAUAGGUAGAAACAGAGGGGGAGAUGAAGUAGAAGAGGUAGAAACAGAGAGGGGGAGAUGAAGAAGAGGUAGAAACAGAGGGAGAUGAAGAAGAAGUAGAAACAGAGAGGGAGAUGAAGAAUAGGUAGAAACAGAGGGGGAGAUGAAGAAUAGGUAGAAACAGAGGGGGAGAUGAAGAAGAGGUAGAAACAGAGAGGGAGAUGAAGUAGAAGAGGUAGAAACAGAGGGGGAGAUGAAGUAGAAGAGGUAGAAACAGAGAGUGGGGAGAUGAAGAAGAGGUAGAAACAGAGAGGGAGAUGAAGUAGAAGAGGUAGAAACAGAGAGGGGAGAUGAAGUAGAAGAGGUAGAAACAGAGAGGGAGAUGAAGUAGAAGAGGUAGAAACAGAGGGGGAGAUGAAGAAGAGGUAGAAACAGAGAGGGAGAUGAAGUAGAAGAGGUAGAAACAGAGAGGGGGAGAUGAAGUAGAAGAGGUAGAAACAGAGAGGUGCGAGUUAAGAGGUUUCAAGUAGUGUUAGCAGCCCUGAGAAAAAACACAUUAAAGCCACCUCUUUAGAUUCUGGCAUGCACAUCCCAGAGAGCCAUCCCAGUAAGCUAAAUUAUGUUGAAAAUACAUAUUUUUCAGACGUUGAAGUUAGGUUCAUUUUAGGUUCUGAAUGAAAGUUAAAAAGACAAUUUUGAUUGCAAAAUAUAUAUUUUUUUAUUGUUAUUUCUCCCAUCUGUCACAUGCACUUAUUUUAACUUUUUCCAAAAGCUUUACAACUGGCAGCUAGUGAUGG